GAUGAACGCUGGCGGCGUGCCUAACACAUGCAAGUCGAGCGAACGGACGAGAAGCUUGUUCCUUUGAUGUUAGCGGCGGACGGGUGAGUAACACGUGGAUAACCUACUUAUAAGACUGGGAUAAUCUCGGGAAACCGGAGCUAAUACCGGAUAAUAUUUUGAACCGCAUGGUUCAAAAGUGAAAGACGGUUUUGCUGUCUCUAAUAGCUGGAUCCGCGCUGCAUUAGCUAGUUGGUAAGGUAACGGCUUACCAAGGCGACGAUGCGUAGCCGACCUGAGAGGGUGAUCGGCCACACUGGAACUGAGACACGGUCCAGACUCCUACGGGAGGCAGCAGUAGGGAAUCUUCCGCAAUGGGCGAAAGCCUGACGCAGCAACACCGCGUGAGUGAUGAAGGUCUUCGGGUCGUAAAGCUCUGUUAUUAGGGAAGAACAGAUGUGGAAGUAACUGUGGACAUCUUGACGGUACCUAAUCAGAAAGCCCCGGCUAACUACGUG
rnacentral:rRNA from 1 species